rnacentral:misc_RNA from 1 species
GUACCCUCAAGCUCUGCUUGGUGUUGGGUGGUUGUCUCUGCUCUGCUUAGACUCGCCCUAAAUAUAUUGGCAGCCGGUAUAUUGGUUUGAAGCGCAGCACAAUUGCAAUUUGAGCCUAUAUUACUGGUAUCCAUUAAGCAAAUUAUCAC